UGAGGAACAUGACCUUCGGCGGGGGAUAGCCGGCCCAACGGCCGGGUAAUACCGCGUACGACCAUUUGGGGACAUCCCUGGGUGGUGAAAGCAGCAAUGCGCCGAUGGAGUGCCUCGCGGCCUAUCAGCUAGUUGGUGAGGUAACGGCUCACCAAGGCGACGACGGGUAGCUGGUCUGAGAGGAUGGCCAGCCACAUUGGGACUGAGACGCGGCCCAGACCUCCUACGGGAGCAG
rnacentral:rRNA from 1 species